CCACAAAGAAGUCAAUAGCAUUUCCAAGGUUAUUCCCCAGGAGAAAAACAGAGAUGUCUUAGGAGAAAGGGAGAGGAUUCUCUUCAAGCUUCAUGAGGGUUUCUUAGUUUGGGGCCUAAUCUGAGAGGACCAGGAACUUGCCUGGGGCUGAAGCUCUGCUGUUGAAUGCUGACAGGAGGUAGAUGAACUGGGACCCUUGUAUGAAAUACCCACCUGCCCCCCUGCCUUGGCCCCAGGAGGCUCUCGUGAAACAUUCUUAUUUGUUCUCAAUCAGGGCAGUCUCCUUGGAGGAAGUGAAUCUGGAAUGAAGAGAGACAGAGAAGUCUCAGAGGGAACUUCAGGCCCAGAAAGAUAAAUGCCCCAGUUUUAAAGGGACACAUCUAGUGCUGAGAAUCUGGCAGGGGGUGAUGAGGAAGACAAAACGGGGAGGCCAAGCGGAGCACGAGAAGCUUCAAGAUACGCCAGAGAGCAUUUAACCAGUCUUUUCUGGAACACGUAUUGAGUGCUUAACGAUGUGCCGGACCCCGUGAUGGGUGCUGAAUGCAGCGUAGACCCUGUCGUCAGGGAGCUCAAAUGGGAGAAAAUAGACAGAAUGAAGCCGCCAUGAGAUAGUGACUUUAUUUUCUUCACUGCUAUGUCCCCAGCACCUAAAACAUUGCCAG